AUCAUACUUCAGACACUUCCCCCUGGUAAGGCACGAUUCUUCUCUUCCCCUUAUCCCUCUCACUUUGUCCUCUCCUCUCUCCCUUCCCUACCACUCAGUUCUUCUUAAAGAUAAUAUACCACAGUAACACUCGCUCAAUCCUCGUCAUCUAUGGCCACCAACCUACGGCUCACUCCUCUGUCAUCAGUCAGCGCAAUUCCUCUCGCAACCUGUAGCCUACAAUUUGUCUAUUUCCCUUCUCCAGUCCACUAUUCGGUAGGUUAGUUUGCCUCUGAUUAAUUUGAAUUGUUAGAUGCAUAUUCAAUCAUUCAGUAAUUAGUUGUAUAGAUACAUGUUAUUUCUUUGCUUGGAUGGAUGUUAUUG
rnacentral:misc_RNA from 1 species